rnacentral:rRNA from 1 species
UACGUAGGUGGCAAGCGUUGUCCGGAAUUAUUGGGCGUAAAGCGCGCGCAGGCGGUCCUUUAAGUCGGAUGUGAAAUCCCACGGCUCAACCGUGGAAGUGCAUUCGAAACUGCAGGGCUAGAGUCCUGGAGAGGAAGGUGGAAUGCUUGGUGUAGAGGUGAAAUUCGUAGAUAUCAAGCGGAACACCGGUGGCGAAGGCGGCCUUCUGGACAGUGACUGACGCUGAGACGCGAAAGCGUGGGGAGCAAACAGG